rnacentral:rRNA from 1 species
GUACAUCCUACGGGAGGCAGCAGUGAGGAAUAUUGGUCAAUGGGCGCGAGCCUGAACCAGCCAAGCCGCGUGAGGGAAGACGGCCCUAUGGGUUGUAAACCUCUUUUGUCGGAGAACAAAACCCGGGACGUGUCCCGGACUGCGUGUAUCCGAAGAAAAAGCAUCGGCUAACUCCGUGCCAGCAGCCGCGGUAAUACGGAGGAUGCGAGCGUUAUCCGGAUUUAUUGGGUUUAAAGGGUGCGUAGGCGGUCCGUUAAGUCAGCGGUAAAAUUGCGGGGCUCAACCCCGUCGAGCCGUUGAAACUGGCAGACUUGAGUUGGCGAGAAGUACGCGGAAUGCGCGGUGUAGCGGUGAAAUGCAUAGAUAUCGCGCAGAACUCCGAUUGCGAAGGCAGCGUACCGGCGCCACACUGACGCUGAGGCACGAAAGCGUGGGGAUCGAACAGGAUUAGAUACCCCUGUAGUCCCAUGA